GCUAGCUUAGCUGGUAAAGCAUGAGACUCUUAAUCUCACGGUUGUGGGUUCAAGUUUCCUGCAUAGCA